rnacentral:rRNA from 1 species
UCUUGGGUUGUAAACCCCUUUUCUCAGGGAAGAAGAAAGUGACGGUACCUGAGGAAUCAGCCUCGGCUAACUCCGUGCCAGCAGCCGCGGUAAUACGGAGGAGGCAAGCGUUAUCCGGAAUGAUUGGGCGUAAAGCGUUCGUAGGUGGCGAUUCAAGUCUGCUGUCAAAGAGUGGAGCUUAACUCCAUAAAGGCAGUGGAAACUGAAUAGCUGGAGUGCGGUAGGGGCAGAGGGAAUUCCCGGUGUAGCGGUGAAAUGCGUAGAGAUCGGGAAGAACACCGGUGGCGAAAGCGCUCUGCUGGGCCGCAACUGACACUGAGGGACGAAAGCUAGGGGAGCGAAUGGGAUUAG